CUUCUUUUAAAAAAUUACAGAAAUAAGGUAUACAAGUUCCCGGGGAAAGUUUGUUAGAGUAUGUUAGAGCUCAACAGAUUUUAGGCAAUUGGGGAAAUAGUCUUUUAUAAAUCCUUUACAGAUAUUGGGAAAACCGACCUGGUUAAACGCACUGAUAAUAAACAAUUUAAACAACCACCAUCUAUGCAUGAACAAGUUUGUCAACAUUUGCGGGAAAUAUUAUAUUAGUUUGUGGUGCAAUGGGAAAAGUCAAUCUUCUUAUUGCAGUAAGGUUAAUGUGGUGGACAGGAACGAAGAUAAUCGUUUGAGAUUUUGUAUAGAUAUGUGUCAACUGAACAGAAGAACCACCAAAUAUACUUAUAUUUGCCUCGUGUAGAUAAUAGUUAUGUUAAAUUAUCUUGUUAAUGUAAUUUUUUCAAACAAGAUUUUACGUACUUGACACCUGUAUGGGUGAUUUAAACCUAAAAUAAUGUCUAAAUGAUGUUUUGAUUUUAUCGAAGAUUUUCGAUGAACAUCACAACAGAAUUGAUGUUUGUUUCGAGCGUCGUAAAGAGUAUGAUCAUAAAUAUAAUGUGUGAAAUCAAUGUGUGAAUUGGUCAGUUCAAGUGUUUUUUUUUAUAUUAAAGUUAUGUUGUUUCCUCAGAAGGUAUCCAUACAGAUCCUGAUAAAAGUGUUCCUUUGACUACAUGGCCAGUACCACAUAAUGUUAAUAAUUUACAUACAUUUCUUGGUUUUACAGGGUAGUACAGGCGGUAUUUCAAAAAUUAUGCUAAAAUUGCGACACCACUUAAUGAUCCUUAAGAAGGUCAUCCAACUAAAUGGCAUUUAAGAAAUCCAAGAAGAACAGUAAAACUCCCUGGGUUCGGGGUGAUGAGCAACAAAAGGCGUGUGGUACUAUUAUUCACCUUUUUCAUUCACCGGUAUUUGGUUAUGCUGUUUUUUUUCUAAACAAUUUAUGUUUCAACAGAAGGUCUUGGUAGUGUUUAUGUCAAGAACAAGAUGGCUUAGAACGUGUGAUUAGCUUUGCCAGCAACGGUCUACGUGCCAGUGGUGAGAAUAACUACCGAUCACACAAGUUGGAGUGUUCUGGUCUGGAGUGGGCCAUAAUAAAAAAUGUUCAUGACUACCUAUAUUGCCCCGCAAUUCCGCGCUCCUCAACAUGCUUUGUACCUUAGACCCUGCCAGGAAAGGCAAUUGGAAAGACUAACUGAAGCCACUAAUCCACGCUGAAUAUUCUACUAGACAUGAGUCAAUUUGAUUUUUUCCCCAUUAUCUUCUUUUUGGCUGGCAUCUGAGACUUGCUAUUUACGCUUUUGGGAGUCAAGCUCACCGCCAUACAAGCCUGUAGCACAAAUAACUAUGCUGCCAAACUCGGGAAGCGCUUUGAAUUUGCUCGUCAAGUUGCAAGAAAAAAAUCAACCAAGCAGUCUGGUUGCCAAAAUAAGAUCUAAGACAGUAAGAUGCGAUAUUCAACUCUUAAAGCAGUAGACAGAGUCAUUAUCAAGAAUAUGACGCCUACUGGAAAGUUGGAUGACAAGUCUCAAAGGGACCUAUGCUUGUUAACAUACUUCCCAGGCCAGACAGCACCUGUCUAUACAGUGGACAGGGAAACUGGCAAUGGACCAAGACCUUUCACAGGAAUCUAAGAUACCAAGAUAAACUUGCCUAAGACAGUUUCGCCAAAUAUCAGGUAAACAUCUAGGAUAGUAUCCCCGACACCAGAUAAGUAUGUUGAUUGAAAGGAUCCGGACAGCUCAAAAGAGUCAGAUUUAAGCCAUGAAUAUGAAACCACAGAGAAGUAUAUUAUCCCACCUCGGAGGAGACCGGUAUCAAAACCGCGUGUAACGUUGGGCUUGGCUGGGUCAUCAAACAUGUUAUUUGUGAUGGUUUCCCAAGUGUUUAUAAUACUAAUAGGUCUUCUUUUCAGAUGGUUACACCUAGUUCAGAAAAUUUACCUUUCUCUAGGUAUAAUUGUCAUUAUAAUUCUGAAUCUUAUGUUAGGUGUUAAUAAUGAUAAAUGUUCUUAAGGUCUUAGGUCUGAGCCUCCAUGUACCAAUACCAGUCAUCAGGCUCAAAAUCAGUCCUCUGUUGACAGUCAGAGAUCGCAAAAUGUCCGGAGAGCACCGAUUAUAUUUGGAGAAAGGCCUACAUCAACCACAGCUCUUGUUUACAACACUUCUCAAGAUGGUGAAUAAAUGUGCAAACUUUUAUAAGUGUUAAUUAUAUUUUAUUUCUAAAGUGUUAUUCAUUUUAGCCCUAUUUUGAAGUCAUUUUACAUGAAAUGUUUAACAUUUUAUUCCUGCAGGAACUCUACUGCGAUUUCAGUUGUACCAGAGGUAUUUAUGUAUUAAUUUCGAAUGUCUUUAAAUUUCAGCUGUGUUGGGGGUUAUAACUUAAAUUUCAGUUUGUACCGUUAUUUUCAGCACUAUUGAGCCUACAAUUUGUAAUAAUUAAAUUAAGCUUUUACCUUAAACAUUAAUAGUUUGGGUAGUUUCAAGUUGAAACAAUUACACGCCUUUUGUUGCCAGCAGAGCCAGUGCCUUUAAAUUUGUUUUCAGCUUCUUAUUUUUAUUUCAGGUUAUGUUUGGAAGACACAUAUUUACAGUAGAAACUACUGUUUUAUCAAUUCACAUGUGAUAGAAACAUUUUAUUUUCAAAUACAUUCUGAUUUUGUAAUUCAAAAUAUUUUUUGUUCUGUUUUGGUGAUAUUGGUACAGAAACUUUGAGACAUUUGUUUAAUAGGUUAAUAAAAUGUCAGAAACCAUCUUGUCCUAUAAUUGGAGAAUGUCACAGGCCGAUUUAAUAGUAAUGUCACGUGUUCAUUUGGCCGUUCACUGUUCUUAAAUCAAUCCCGAUAAAAAUGUACUUAAUGUCCGCGCAUGCAUUGAUUUGUGUCCGUGGCGUCUAUUAUCGUCUGCUUCUGUUUUUGCAUCGGAUUGUUCCGUAAAGUACGCUUAUCAGUGGAAAUGCAUGGAAACGCCAGAGAUAAUUCAACUUUUUCCGUAUCUCGUGCAAUUUUGUGAACUGUUGUAUGUUCACUCGUGUUGUACGUUGUAUGAAAAAUAUUUGAGAGAAUGAUUUACAUUUUUUUUUAUCAAGGAAACAUAUUAUAGCCGUUGGUGAGUGUUUAUAAAAUUGAUAAUUCAGGACAAAACUAGUUAUUUAAUUUCUGAUGAAACAGCCAUGACAUUUGUAUGAACUUUAUCUUGUAUAAUUAUAGGUUAAAGAAAAUAAUACCAACAUUGGUCCUGAUAAUGGUGCUAUCAACCGUUGCAUACCAACUGUAUUACAUUUUGCGAAUAAUUCAUCCUCUGCGGAUAAUGAAUACGGAUAGGAACGCAUCUGAUAAUCCAGGUGAAAAUGAAGGACAUAGUCAUGAAACUCAUACGACAGAAGACGACGUCAAGAUAAUUGCCGCGUAUGUACAAGAUAAGCUGUAUGAGUUACAGAACCCAUAUGUAUGCGAGUCAGCAAAAAAGGUUUUGUGCGAGCUCCGUCCAGCUGGAUUCGGGAGUCAAGUGCACCUCUUGACAGUCUGUUUAACAGUUGGAUUUUUGACUCAGAGGACAGUUAUUUUUCGUGAAGGACAAUCUAGGUACGAACGAACAGGAUGGGGAAAUCUUUUUCUUCCACUCAGCGAGAAUUGCUCACAAUUGACGAACCAAACAGUUCAACGAGUCACAACUCUUUUCAACACUGAAGAUAUUCCAGUAAUACGCAUUGAUUUCGGACCAAUGUAUGUCGAGCUUCACAGGUCAAUUCCUGAAAGCAACAGAAAAAGUGUCAUACGUUUUCACAGAAACCCACAGCUUUGGUGGGCCGGUCAAAUGGCUGCUUUCAUCUUAAGACCUACAAUACGUCUCCAGAACCUCAUCACUAAAAAAAAGUGUCAUAUGGAUUCAAGAACGUGAUUGUUGGGUUACACAUUCGGAGGACAGACAAAUUAAUACUUGAAGCCAGGUUAUAUAAUGUUACAGACUAUAUGAUGGCUGCAGAAACUUGGUUUAAUAACUAUGAGGAAAAUACUGGGGAAGCUCUUAAAACUCGCAAAAUAUUCCUUGUUACUGAUGAGCCGAGUGUUGUUACAGAGGCAAAAUUAUUAUUUCCUAACUACACAUUUAUACAUGAUAUGAAUGCAACUCUAGCUGCAAAUAGUCGUACAUUGCGGUUGCAAUUUUCAUCUCUGAAAGAUAUCAUCAGUGACAUAUUUCUAUUAUCAAUGUGCGAUUACCUUGUCUGUACCAUGUCAUCUAACGUAAGUCAUUUUUAUAAUUUUUUACCUUUUUAUUUUUAACAUAUUAGCACUACAUACACAACAAUCUAUUCAAUUUUAUGUGAAAUUAUUUGUUUAGAUUAUAAAAAGAAACUAUAUAAAAGGAAGACAGGAUCAGCACACCAUUUCGUCUUAUAUGUUACUAUGACCAUUUAUUGAUUAAAAUUCUUAGGGGCGUCCGUGGCCGAGUUGUUAAGGUCGUUGACUUCAAACCACUUGCCCCUCACCGCUGUGGGUUCGAAUGGAACAGGGACUUUGGAUUCUUUCAUGUGAGGAAGCUAUCCAGCUAGCUUACGGAACGUCGGUGUUCUACUUAGGUGCCCGUUCGUGCCUGAAAUAAUGCACGGAAGGGCACCUGAGGUCUUCCUCCA